rnacentral:rRNA from 1 species
UACGAGGGGGGCGAGCGUUGUUCGGAAUUAUUGGGCGUAAAGGGUGCGUAGGCGGGUCUUUAAGUCAGGGGCGAAAUCCUGGAGCUCAACUCCAGAACUGCCUUUGAUACUGAGGAUCUUGAGUUCGGGAGAGGUGAGUGGAACUGCGAGUGUAGAGGUGAAAUUCGUAGAUAUUCGCAAGAACACCAGUGGCGAAGGCGGCUCACUGGCCCGAUACUGACGCUGAGGCACGAAAGCGUGGGGAGCAAACAGG